rnacentral:tRNA from 1 species
GUGGCGCCACAGUCGGUCGCGGCCGCGCCUCCCAAGCUCGGGGCCGAGGGUUCGAAUCCCUUCCGCCGCU